GUUUGGCAGUUGGUGUCAAGUAUGAGAGCAGUGUAUCAUGGUCCUGGACAGUUAGACAGCAGCAAGGGUAUGAUGUAUAAAGAGUUUCAAUUAUUUUGAAACCAAGAAAGAGUGAAGGAGGCAGGGAAGAGAGAACCACCUUUGGAUAAGUGCUUAAUAAAGGUGUGCCUCACAACUACAGCAAAAGUUAGGAAGCGUGAGACUGCCUUCCCUAGGAAGUAAACUUCUUAGCAUACCGAUCAGAAGAGUUUCCUCUUUGUCUUCAAUAGAUCAAUACCACUAAAGCUUCCAAAGCAUCUAUGCAACAGAGGGCUCCAUUUCAGAAUUCACCCAUGGGUUGGCUUCAAACACACCGGUCAAUACCUGCAGCUCAUCAAUUUCACAGGUCCUCUGACCAUACCUUACAUGGAUCUAAUAUCAAGAGCUCUGUCAGUUUACCUACAGAAGCGCUUCACCUGCGGCUGCACUCAGAACAUCUCGCAGAGCCAUCUGGGUGCCAUCCUUGAAUCUGGAAGACAGAAAAAGGCAUCAGGGAGCUGUUUACUAUACUUUGAACACCUGGCCUCUACUAGAACAUUGUCUGAUUUUAAACUUGUUAUCACGCCACAGAGAAUUCCAACACAGCUACCAGGUAAGGCCCAUUUAUUAAGGCAAAGUAACAAAGAAUCCCCUUGAUACUGAGAAUGACAGAACAAACUUCUGGACCU
ensembl:lncRNA